CCUACGGGAGUCAGCAGUAGGGAAUCUUCGGCAAUGGGGGCAACCCUGACCGAGCAACGCCGCGUGAGUGAAGAAGGUUUUCGGAUCGUAAAGCUCUGUUGUAAGAGAAGAACGAGUGUGAGAGUGGAAAGUUCACACUGUGACGGUAACUUACCAGAAAGGGACGGCUAACUACGUGCCAGCAGCCGCGGUAAUACGUAGGUCCCGAGCGUUAUCCGGAUUUAUUGGGCGUAAAGCGAGCGCAGGCGGUUAGAUAAGUCUGAAGUUAAAGGCUGUGGCUUAACCAUAGUACGCUUUGGAAACUGUUUAACUUGAGUGCAGAAGGGGAGAGUGGAAUUCCAUGUGUAGCGGUGAAAUGCGUAGAUAUAUGGAGGAACACCGGUGGCGAAAGCGGCUCUCUGGUCUGUAACUGACGCUGAGGCUCGAAAGCGUGGGGAGCAAACAGGAUUAGAUACCCCAGUAGUC
rnacentral:rRNA from 1 species